rnacentral:rRNA from 1 species
UGGGGAAUAUUGCACAAUGGGCGAAAGCCUGAUGCAGCGACGCCGCGUGCGGGAUGAAGGCCUUCGGGUUGUAAACCGCUUUUGAUUGGGAGCAAGCGAGAGUGAGUGUACCUUUCGAAUAAGCACCGGCUAACUACGUGCCAGCAGCCGCGGUAAUACGUAGGGUGCAAGCGUUAUCCGGAAUUAUUGGGCGUAAAGAGCUCGUAGGCGGUUUGUCGCGUCUGGUGUGAAAGUCCAUCGCUUAACGGUGGAUCUGCGCCGGGUACGGGCAGGCUAGAGUGCGACAGGGGAGACUGGAAUUCCCGGUGUAACGGUGGAAUGUGUAGAUAUCGGGAAGAACACCAAUGGCGAAGGCAGGUCUCUGGGUCGUCACUGACGCUGAGGAGCGAAAGCGUGGGGAGCGAACAGGAUUAGAUACCCUGGUAGUCCACGCCGUAAACGGUGGAUGCUGGAUGUGGGGCCCAUUCCACGGGUUCCGUGUCGGAGCUAAC